GGUACCACUUACCACCCAAAGCACUGAGCUUUGGGUGGUUUUUUAUGUCUCUGGCCUGAAACUAUGCGGCCGCGGA
rnacentral:tRNA from 1 species